CACACACAUGUAGAUUUGGUCCAACUCAUCAUCCAAUUCUUACUCGAACCACUUCUAUUUGCUUUAUUUGAGUCACUUCUUCCACAAAGCUUUUGAUUUCCCAACAUUGCAUCAUUAGUUGACAAGUGAUCGUUGCGAGGAUUAGAAGCUUCGAUAGACAUUGUGUACUUUAUAGUAGUUUUUAACAAUGUUAACUAGCUUGGGUAUAGGUGAUAGGUAUCUGUAUAUGUUUUCUGUGGCUCAUUAGUUUGGAUUUAUCACUAGUUAGGGUGGAGUUGUGGGAACAUGACAAUUCAAGAAUUAAGUAUUUAUAAAGAGUUAUAACAACCUGUAAGUCUGUAACUUAUUUUGUUCAGAAAAUAGGACCCAAAUUUCAAUCUUAUAAACAGGUUUGCUGUCAAAUGUUUUGUGAAGCUGUUGAGAUCCACAUAUAUGAAUAUCCCUUAUACCUAAGAAGUGACAGGGAGAGAGGGAUCACCCUCUUAAUGGUUGUUUGAAUAACAUAUUCGCUCCAUGUAUGUAGAUCACCAAAUGUAUUAACUUCUAUGCAGCAUGGAAGGCAAGCAUUCGUUUCUGUGCCUAGCACUUUUCCUGUGCCUGGAGAAGAACUGAUGUUUUGAUGAUUGUAAGAGGGGCAAGGAGAAGCUUGUUUGUGAUGCUGCUCAAGUACUGCUUUAUUUCGGAGUUGAACAAAUCAUCUAUGUUUCUGAAAUGACGCACUGCUAAAUAAAGGUCUACACUCCGAGGAAUGCGCCUAUACUAGUGAGGAAAUUGAUGUGGUUCGUGAGCAACGGGCUAAGUGUUUUACCCGCAAGUAUUUACUAUUGGCUUGAGCGCGCUUGAUCGAGGUGGUUUAGUUGUUAUAGAACAAUCGUUUACAUUAAAAUGUAUGCGUACAUUGAAAUUGGAACGUAUAUUUGAAUGUAGUACGUGCACUUUGGUUUUGGGAUAUAUAUAUAUGUAUACAAAACACCAGUUAUUAUUUUUUAUAUUUGUUGA